GACGAACGCUGGCGGCGUGCUUAACACAUGCAAGUCGAACGGAAAGGCCCUGCGUUUGUGGGGUGCUCGAGUGGCGAACGGGUGAGUAACACGUGAGUAACCGGCCCUUGACUUUGGGAUAACUUCAGGAAACGGGGGCUAAUACCGGAUAGGAGAUCCUGCUGCAUGGUGGGGGUGGGAAAGUUUCGGCGGUUGGGGAUGGACUCGCGGCUGAUCAGCUAGUUGGUGGGGUAGUGGCUUACCAAGGGUUUGACGGGUAGCCGGCCUGAGAGGGUGACCGGCCACAUUGGGACUGAGAGACGGCCCAGACUCCUACGGGAGGCAGCGGGGGGGAAUAUUGCACAAUGGGCGGAAGCCUGAUGCAGCAACGCCGCGUGCGGGAUGACGGCCUUCGGGUUGUAAACCGCUUUCGCCUGUGACGAAGCGUGAGUGACGGUAAUGGGUAAAGAAGCACCGGCUAACUACGUG
rnacentral:rRNA from 1 species